rnacentral:rRNA from 1 species
UACGUAGGGUGCGAGCGUUGUCCGGAAUUAUUGGGCGUAAAGGGCUCGUAGGCGGUCUGUUGCGUCGGGAGUGAAAACUCAGGGCUUAACCCUGAGCCUGCUUCCGAUAAGGGCAGACUAGAGGUAUGCAGGGGAGAACGGAAUUCCUGGUGUAGCGGUGAAAUGCGCAGAUAUCAGGAGGAACACCGGUGGCGAAGGCGGUUCUCUGGGCAUUACCUGACGCUGAGGAGCGAAAGUGUGGGGAGCGAACAGG